UGCCAGUUGCGACCUCCCGCCCACCACCAUUUUCUUUGGCCAGCUGCCACCACUGCCAUAAUUUUUCUCUAGCCUGUCCCGGUCGCUAUCGGCAGUUGCUUGCGAACUCUCGCGAAAGCUGCCACACAUAGGAUUAGCAAUGGAAUACAGGGGAGAAGGAUUUCUGUCCUGAAAUCAGAUGCACAGCUGCAAUGAAUCAUUUCAACACCUUCCCCGCUCAUGUUAAAUGACCCAGUUGACUUCUCGACAAACAGUUUAGUACCACUGUUGAAACCGAUUCUUCUGACAUGCAACUUGUUCAUUUUGAUAUUUCCUCCCUCAGAUGGUUUCGCUUUUGACAGCUGCAAUAUAAGGACUUCCCCAUUAUAAGACAACAGCUUUUCUUGCUGAUCUGCUGACAUCUUUUCUUAAAUAUAUGCCACUAUAUAAGGA